rnacentral:rRNA from 1 species
AUUGAACGCUGGCGGCAUGCCUUACACAUGCAAGUCGAACGGUAACGGGCCUUCGGGUGCCGACGAGUGGCGAACGGGUGAGUAAUGCAUCGGAACGUACCUUUCAGUGGGGGAUAACGUAGCGAAAGUUACGCUAAUACCGCAUAUUCUGUGAGCAGGAAAGCAGGGGAUCGCAAGACCUUGCGCUGAUUGAGCGGCCGAUGUCAGAUUAGCUAGUUGGUGAGGUAAAGGCUCACCAAGGCGACGAUCUGUAGCGGGUCUGAGAGGAUGAGCCGCCAAGCUGGAAGUGAGCCACGGUCCAGACUCCGACGGGAGGCAGCGGUGGGGAAUUUUGUACAAUGGGGGCAACCCUGAUACAGCCAUGCCGCGUGAGGGAAGAAGGCCUUAGGGUUGGAAAGCUCUUUCGGCCGGGAAGAAAUCGUAUGGGCUAAUACCCUGUGCGGAUGACGGUACCGGCAUAAGAAGCACCGGCUAACUACGUGCCAGCCGCCGCAGUAAGAC